rnacentral:rRNA from 1 species
AACGUAGGAGGCGAGCGUUAUCCGGAUUUACUGGGUGUAAAGCGCGUGCAGGCGGUUCUGCAAGUGGGACGUGAAAGCGCCCGGCUCAACCGGGCGAGGCCGUUCCGAACUGCGGGACUGGAGGCAGGUAGAGGCGUGUGGAAUUCCGGGUGUAGUGGUGAAAUGCGUAGAGAUCCGGAGGAACACCAGUGGCGAAGGCGGCCACCUGGACUGUACCUGACGCUCAAACGCGAAAGCUAGGGGAGCGAAC